rnacentral:rRNA from 1 species
CCUACGGGAGGCAGCAGUGGGGAAUAUUGCACAAUGGGCGAAAGCCUGAUGCAGCGACGCCGCGUGAGGGAUGACGGCCUUCGGGUUGUAAACCUCUUUCUAGCAGGGAAGAAGCGAAAGUGACGGUACCUGCAGAAGAAGCGCCGGCUAACUACGUGCCAGCAGCCGCGGUAAUACGUAGGGCGCGAGCGUUGUCCGGAAUUAUUGGGCGUAAAGAGCUCGUAGGCGGCUUGUCACGUCGGGUGUGAAAGCCCGGGGCUUAACCCCGGGUCUGCAUUCGAUACGGGCUAGCUAGAGUGUGGUAGGGGAGAUCGGAAUUCCUGGUGUAGCGGUGAAAUGCGCAGAUAUCAGGAGGAACACCGGUGGCGAAGGCGGAUCUCUGGGCCAUUACUGACGCUGAGGAGCGAAAGCGUGGGGAGCGAACAGGAUUAGAUACCCUGGUAGUCCACGCCGUAAACGGUGGGAACUAGGUGUUGGCGACAUUCCACGUCGUCGGUGCGCAGCUACGACAUAACGUUACCCGUCCCGUCGGGAGGUACGGCCGCCGAACGACGUAAAACUUAAAACGUAAAGUUAGUACGGCGNGAGACGUAGCCGACGACGACGACGAACGGGAAGGUAGGAG